CGUAGGGUGCGAGCGUUAAUCGGAAUUACUGGGCGUAAAGCGUGCGCAGGCGGUUAUAUAAGACAGAUGUGAAAUCCCCGGGCUCAACCUGGGAACUGCAUUUGUGACUGUAUAGCUAGAGUACGGCAGAGGGGGAUGGAAUUCCGCGUGUAGCAGUGAAAUGCGUAGAUAUGCGGAGGAACACCGAUGGCGAAGGCAAUCCCCUGGGCCCGUACUGACGCUCAUGCACGAAAGCGUGGGGAGCAAACAGGAUUAGAUACCCUGGUAGUCCACGCCCUAAACGAUGUCAACUGGUUGUUGGGUCUUCACUGACUCAGUAACGAAGCUAACGCGUGAAGUUGACCGCCUGGGGAGUACGGCCGCAAGGUUG
rnacentral:rRNA from 1 species